rnacentral:lncRNA from 1 species
AUACCAUUCCCUAAGUUAUAAAAGUCUAUGGGAGGCAUAAUUUUGCAGUAUGGGGAACCAAGAGUUUUCUUUUGAACAUAUAUUCUUUGAUAUGUAUGUUAGGUAAGCAGGUAGCUAUGUGAAGUAGGCUUCUGGAUACAUGAUCCUGGACUUCUGGAAAGGGAUGAGUGUGGGAGACAUGUACAUGGGAGUCUCUGGCUUGCAUAGAGUACUUAAAGCCCUGGGCCCCUAACUGUAAAGGUCUCUUCAGCAAAGUAGCUCAGGGUAGCCAGAAAACCACAGCAUACUUGGCAGGAACACUCAUUAUGUCCUCAAAGUGGCUUGAGUUGCUGGUUGCUCCCUAGGUUUGGCAGAAAGGUUGAAAGCAAAAACAGUCUUCACUGAGAAUUCCCUGUAGCACAAUAUCAGAUUUAAAAACUAGCAGGGUACACUCUGCUGUAGACAUAGACUAAGCACAGACUCAACCACUACAAGUCCUAAAGAAAUUAAAAUGAGCUUUUGGAUUUGUCAAAACACAUUAACAAUAUCAAACGUUUAGAUAUGAGCAAGUAGGAUCUGAUGACUAUUUUCUCCUAUCCUAGAAAAGAAAACACACAUCAACAGGCCACACCCUGGAGAUUUGAUGCACUGAAGCUUUCAGAAGUCUUGCAUGCUGUUUCCACUGGAGAACUGAUUGUGUCACAUUGCCAUGAUUCAUCCAGUGUCUGCCUUCCCUUAUACUCUGGGCAGAGAUGAACCCUUCUUUGCCAUCUCUCCAGCCGCAUAAAGUCACUGAAGCAUUAUAUUGGCUCAGUCAUUGUGGGUUGAUGAAUCCAGUGAGCACUUGAGAAGGUCCAUUUUCAAAAUAUCUCACAGGACAACUUGAUGGAAAAUAAAAAUAAUUCUUUUGUGAAAUUUCAUUUCUAUAAGCAGCAAUGAGUCUUCAUAUUUGUUGAGUACUUAUUUUCCUGUCACCAACAUUUGCUGCAAUUCCCUUUCUAUAAGAUCAAAGGACCAUAUAUAUAUAAUAAAUGAUCAUAGGGUGUUUGUUUGUUUUGAGUUGGAGUCUUGCUCUGUUGCCCAAGCUGGAGUGCAGUGGCAUGAUCUCGGCUCACUGCAACCUCCGCCUCCUGGGUUCAAGUGAUUCUCCUGCCUCAGCUGCCCAGGUAGAUGUGAUUACAGGUGCCCGCCACUACACUCGGCUAAUUUUUGUAUUUUUAGGAGAGACAGGGUUUCACCAUGUUGGCCAGGCUGGUCUCAAACUCCUGACCUCAAGUGAUCCCCCCUCCUCAACCUCCCAAACUGCUGGGAUUACCGGUGUAAGCUUGGCCUGAUCAUACUGUUUAAUUUUUUAAAGCCUAAUUGUAUAAAGCCCUGCUUUCAUUCUAGCCACUUGGAUCAAGUCAACUACUAUUUGUGACUAAAUCCAGUGAUGCUUUUUGACUUCCAUUUUACUGCCUGAUACAGUUUGGCUAUGUCCAAAGGGGGCAAUAGCAGAAAAAAAGAAGCAAACACUUCUAAGACUUCAAAUUGUGAAGCAUUACGUUUGAUCCUGCAACCUACAUUAGCUCAUGAUAUUACUACAAGAAAUCCCUAGGGGCUAACCAUACACCUCUGGUCCAGGAGAGAGAGAAGUUGAAAAAGAAACCAGAGGAAGCUGGAGCAGCUUCCAGUCCAACUAUUGCCCCAUGCUGACAAAGUGAGCAAACAGGUAAGUGACAUCCUUUGUCAUCUACAAAAUGGUGUUGGUACCAUUAAAAUAUUGCUCAAGAAUCUCUGCUGUGGCCCACGCUGUCCAGAAACGUGCUAGAAAAGGAAUUCUGGGAAAUGUAGUUCAGCUGAGCCAAGCUGACACAUUGUAAAGCCACCAUGAUGUAUUUGUGAUAACAGGGGUGUGGUUUGGUCCUAAAUAUCUUAACCAGACCACAUUGGAAUCCCAUAAACUUGAUGUCCUGGUAGCUCUUCCUGAAUCCUGAAUUAAGUCCUGAAUACUUUUACUUUGUGUUGUAAAUGGUUUCUUUUGUUUUUCAGCCCUGUUUCCAAUGUCCCUGGCUCCUGUCUGCUGCCUAGAACAUUGCACAUAAACUGUUCUAUUUCUCUUCUGGUGUUCAUCUCAUUUUUCCUGUUAAGUUCCCAUUUGCUCUGGGAGAUAGUGGUUUGGGACUAUUAUUAUUACUGUUGUUAUUGUUAUUGUUAGAGGGGUUGGUUCCUGAGAGACGUUUAUAACCAACUCUGUAUGAUGCUGUUUGCUUUCUCUUCCCAUUCCAUGAAAUAGAGAAAUCCAGCAAGGAGAGAAUGCAGUGUCGCUCCAGGGGACCAGUUUAUACAGAGGAGUACAAAUCCCACUUGUACUUCACAGAGGAACAAGUUUAAGAUACGGCUUUUGUAAACAGACCCUUGGAUCUCAGUAAGGGGAUUUGAAAAGUCAAACAUGCUGGGGCCAUGACUAUAAAAGUAAAAUUACAAGGCUCAGGACCCUUUCCAGAGACAGGCUUAUUUCAAACAUUGCUAUCUUGUAGGUGUUAUUCUUAGCAGAACACGGGUUCGUGUCAGCUUUCCUUUUAACAUCCAGCUGGGAUGGGAGUCAUGCAAUAGCUUCAUUAGGCUGCUGAGGAGUUCAUUACCACAAAGUCCUGAUUUUUCCUCAAGUCUUAGCAUGACCUCUGAACCCACCCCUUUCUCUCAUACAUUUCUUUGUGGAUUUGUUUAUGUAGUCAGUAAAAAUGAAUCAGGUGCUUUACUGUGCCAGGCAUUGUGCUGGUCCAGAGAAUGCAAAGAUGGAUAAGACAGAGCCAUCAUCUUCAAGGACUUACAAAUAAGAUAGACAGAAGGUAAUCCAACACACUUACUGUGCUACAGAGGCUACAACAGAAGUCUGGAUGAGGGAACCAUGGGAACACACAACAGGGAAAGAAUAAUUCCCCAGAGAUGAAGAAGGGUGUAGUUCAGCCUUCAUCGAGGAGGUGGACUAUAGGCAAACACCUAAUGAUUGGACAACCUUAUUGAAUCAGACAGAUCUCAUACUCUGAAGCCUUCUGAUUAGGAGUUUGGGGUUCUGUCCUUGUGCUCUCAAAUCUAUGGCGAUGCGAUAUACCUAUGUUUUCACAACUGCCUUUUCUCAUUACCCUCUACUACUCUUCUGCCUGAACUUAGUAACGUUAUAGGAAGGGCAGCUCAGCAAAGUGCCUGUGUUCAAAUCCUAACCCUACCAUUUACUACCAAGUUACCCUGAAAAUGUAUUUUAACUUCUUUGUGCUUUGAUUUCUUCAGAUGAAAAAAUCAACCGGGCGUAGUGGCUCAUGCCUGUAAUCCCAGCACUUUGGGAGGCCAAGGCGGGUGGAUCACGUGAGGCAAGGAGUUUGAGACCAGCCUGGCCAAUGUGGUAAAACCUGGUCUCUACUAAAAAUAUAAAAAUUAGCCAGGCGUGGUGGCAUGCAUCUGUAAUCCCAGCUACUCAGGAGGCUGAGGCACAAGAAUCUCUUUAAUCAGGGCAGCAGAGGUUGCAGUGAGCCGAGAUCAUGCCGCUGCACUCCAGCCUGGGAAGUAGAGUGAGACUCUGUCUCAAAAACAAUAAAGAAAGAAAAUAAAAGACGGUGCCUACCUUAUAAGGUUGUUGAGAGGAUGCAUGAAAGGUAAAUGCAAGCACUUAGAAUAUCAAUGGCAUCAAGCAAGCACUGUAGAAAUGUUUAUUAUUCAUAACACAUUUUCCUCUUAAAUUUCAUGUAGAAACAAAAGCCAUAUUUUAGAAUUAAACUUUCUACUAUUCUCUUACUUCCAAAAUUGGAAAAUUUCUAAGAAGUAUUCUGAUUUGGGGCAAGUCACAUGGUAUCUUAGGGCUCAGUUUACCCACCUGUAUAAAUUAUUAACUCAAAGAGUACCUGCUAUGUGUCAGGUAUUCUUUAAACUCUUCAUAAACACCAUCUCAUUUUAUUCUCACAACCUCCCUCAAUGAAGUGAAUUCUGUGUUUACCCAUGUUUAUUUUUUAUUUAGUUAUUUAUUUUGCAAAUGAAAAAAAUGCGAUAUAGGUUUCUAUCUCCAGAGACGAUGAAUUUAACCACUCCACUACCCUCUUUCUGGGAGAGCUAGACUCUGUCUUUUUUUUUUUUUUUAAAUCCUACUUAAGGGGUUCUGUAUGUAAUGAUUUAUAUCUAAUUUACACCAUAAUGGCUUACAUUAUUCAAUCAUCAGAACAUCAUCCCCCUUACACACAAAUGUUGGUAUUUUUGUCCUGUUUUAUAGAUCUGUAAACUAAGACAGGUUAAGCUGGCUCUCUGUAACAAAGUUAAUGACUGAGAGAUACCAUGUUUGCACCUCGGCUUGUCUCAGUGCAACACUAGCAUCUUCAUCCACUGACUUGUACUAUUUAUCUGCAGGUAGGGGACAGUGUAGGGGGAGUGAUCAUAUGCACACACAUCUCCAAACAAUUCUGCCAAUAAUCUCAGGAGACUUACAAGUCCUCCAAAGGCCAUUUGUAGUACCAGUUAUGCUAUCAUGGAGUCCCCUAUAAUGUGCUUUAAUUUCAACUGUUAUAUAACUUUAGCCAAAGAACUUUUGUUAAGCUUUACUCUACUGAUUUUGCUAGGAAAGCAAAAGGCAUAUUGGUGAUGAUAUCUUCAAAGUUAGCCCAGCUUUCUUUAAGAGAUAAGCCCCAAAGCUCAUCAUUCCCAGUCCUUCCCUAAUAUUGCUGAUCUCUAGUCAAUCUGUUUAGGUUUACAGCCCUUGGACUAGAUGAAAUCUAAAGGUGUUUUAGACCAUAAAUUUUUGUUUCUCGAACUAUAGGAUUCCUCCAUGUCUAGUGCAUUAAUCCUCCACCUUAGCUGUACCAUGUUUACAUCCAAAGAAGACCUCCUUCCUAUAUUUUUAACUUUAGAUCAGGGGUGUCAGUCUACAGCCCACAGGCUAAAUCUGAUCUGCUGCUGUUACAUUUUUGCUUUUUCUUUUUUAAAUAAAGGAUUAUCAUAUUGAAAAACAGUCACUCUCAUUUGUUUAUGUAUUGUCUAUUGGUGUUUUCAUGCUAC